AGUGAGUGAAAUCCCAUCUCCACCUGCAACUUACGAUGGUCAUGUUGACAUAGAAAAAUUUUGGGAUUCAGUGGCAAUGGACAUGUUAAGCAGGGGGUUUUACCCAAGUGGUAAAGAAAAUCCAUUUACAGUUUCACCAAGUUAUCACAACUGGUCCCCAUGGAUAGGUCCAAAAACAAGGCAAUCAGCCAUGGUACUGUAUUAAACACGGAGAGUGCAAAACUACAUUCUCCAGAUGGAGGAAGUGACAUUGAUGUGCCUUUUACUGAGGAAAGGCUUGGAGAUGAGCUACUCCACCUUAAGAUUGCAGAUUUGAAAAAGCUGUGUAGAAAGUGUGGGGUUGAUGCUGUUGGUUCCAAAAUGGAUCUCGUCCUCAGACUUUGUGAUAAAAUGUCAAACAGAGUCACAUACAACAAGGUGUUUGAAAAGGUGUGGGGUGCUUCAGGUGGUGUUGGAGUAAUCAUGUGUCCGUGUGGUAUUGUAUAUUCUGUCAAGUUCAACCUGAGAGCGGAGAGUCCCCGUGACUUUGCUGAUCUUCUUUUGUCUUGGAAACAUUUUCCACAUAUAACGAUUUAUGACUAUCC